rnacentral:rRNA from 1 species
ACGCUGGCGGCAGGCCUAACACAUGCAAGUCGAGCGGUAGAGAGAAGCUUGCUUCUCUUGAGAGCGGCGGACGGGUGAGUAAUGCCUAGGAAUCUGCCUGGUAGUGGGGGAUAACGUUCGGAAACGGACGCUAAUACCGCAUACGUCCUACGGGAGAAAGCAGGGGACCUUCGGGCCUUGCGCUAUCAGAUGAGCCUAGGUCGGAUUAGCUAGUUGGUGGGGUAAUGGCUCACCAAGGCGACGAUCCGUAACUGGUCUGAGAGGAUGAUCAGUCACACUGGAACUGAGACACGGUCCAGACUCCUACGGGAGGCAGCAGUGGGGAAUAUCGGACAAUGGGCGAAAGCCUGAUCCAGCCAUGCCGCGUGUGUGGAAGAAGGUCUUCGGAUUGUAAAGCACUUUAAGUUGGGAGGAAGGGUUGUAGAUUAAUACUCUGCAAUUUUGACGUUACCGACAGAAUAAGCACCGGCUAACUCUGUGCCAGCAGCCGCGGUAAUACAGAGGGUGCAAGCGUUAAUCGGAAUUACUGGGCGUAAAGCGCGCGUAGGUGGUUUGUUAAGUUGGAUGUGAAAUCCCCGGGCUCAACCUGGGAACUGCAUUCAAAACUGACUGACUAGAGUAUGGUAGAGGGUGGUGGGAUUUCCUGUGUAGCGGUGAAAUGCGUA